CAAACAACUGUGAAUGGGAAGAGUAGGAAGAGAAAUGGCCUUCAGAGAGCGGAAUUGUAGCGCUGAGAGAUUCCGCAGGAACCAUCUUGCGAAAAGUCGCCCCGGAGUUGCCUGCUUGAACUUUAGUACAUGGAUGAUCCUGUACAAAAGCUAGAGCAUGCCGGCUGCAGCCGUUACCUGUGUAAAGUGUCGCAACGCUUGGAUUUGCCGUACCUAGGCAGUCAUGACCAACGGUGCGAAACAAAGGUGGUACCGCGAGAGAACAACAGUCUUUCGUCCUUUGA
rnacentral:ncRNA from 1 species